UCCGAUUUAUCACCGGCAGUCUCGCUAGAGUUCUCAGCAUUACCUGCUAGCAACUAACGAUAGGGGUUGCGCUCGUUGCGGGACUUAACCCAACAUCUCACGACACGAGCUGACGACAACCAUGCACCACCUGUAUACCAGUCCCGAAGGACUAACCUAUCUCUAGGUUAUUCCGGUAUAUGUCAAGCCCUGGUAAGGUUCUUCGCGUUGCUUCGAAUUAAACCACAUACUCCACUGCUUGUGCGGGCCCCCGUCAAUUCCUUUGAGUUUCAACCUUGCGGUCGUACUCCCCAGGUGGGAUACUUAAUGCGUUAGCGGCGGCACAGAAUGCUUAAUACAUCCUACACCUAGUAUCCAUCGUUUACAGUGUGGACUAC
rnacentral:misc_RNA from 1 species